GGCGGCGUGCUUUAUGCAUGCAAGUCGAACGGUUCCGAUUUAUCGGAACAGUGGCGGACGGGUGAGUAACGCGUAAGUAACCUGCCCUUAAGUGGGGGACAACCCUGGGAAACCGGGGCUAAUACCGCAUGUGGUGGCGGGGUGAUGUUCUGUCACUAAAGCCUUCGGGUGCUUAAGGAGGGGCUUGCGUCUGAUUAGCUAGUUGGUGGGGUAAAGGCCUACCAAGGCGAUGAUCGGUAGCUAGUCUGAGAGGACGGUCAGCCACACUGGGACUGAGAUACGGCCCAGACUCCUACGGGAGGCAGCAGCAAGGAAUUUUGUGCAAUGGGCGAAAGCCUGACACAGCGACGCCGCGUGGGGGAUGAAGGCCUUCGGGUUGUAAACCCCUUUUCUCAGGGAAGAACAAUGACGGUACCUGAGGAAUAAGUCACGGCUAACUACGUGCCAGCAGCCGCGGUAAUACGUAGGUGGCGAGCGUUAUCCGGAUUUAUUGGGCGUAAAGAGGGCGUAGGCGGUUCUUCAAGUCGGAUGUGAAAUCUCCCGGCUCAACCGGGAGGGGUCAUUCGAUACUGUUGGGCUAGAGGGCAGUAGAGGAAGGUGGAAUUCCCGGUGUAGUGGUGAUAUGCGUAGAUAUCGGGAGGAACACCAGUGGCGAAGGCGGCCUUCUGGGCUGUUCCUGACGCUGAGGCCCGAAAGCGUGGGUAGCGAACAGGAUUAGAUACCCUGGUAGUCCACGCUGUAAACGAUGGAUACUAGGUAUAGGGAGUAUCGACCCUCUCUGUGCCGAAGCUAACGCUUUAAGAAUCCCGCCUGGGGACUACGGGCCGCAAGGCUAAAACUCAAAGGA
rnacentral:rRNA from 1 species